UACGAAGGGUGCAAGCGUUACUCGGAAUUACUGGGCGUAAAGCGUGCGUAGGUGGUUCGUUAAGUCUGAUGUGAAAGCCCUGGGCUCAACCUGGGAAUGGCAUUGGAAACUGGCGACCUAGAGUGCGGUAGAGGGUAGUGGAAUUCCCGGUGUAGCAGUGAAAUGCGUAGAGAUCGGGAGGAACAUCCGUGGCGAAGGCGACUACCUGGACCAGCACUGACACUGAGGCACGAAAGCGUGGGGAGCGAACAGG
rnacentral:rRNA from 1 species